AGAGCGAACGCUGGCGGCAGGCCUAACACAUGCAAGUCGAACGAACUCUUCGGAGUUAGUGGCGGACGGGUGAGUAACACGUGGGAACGUGCCUUUAGGUUCGGAAUAACUCAGGGAAACUUGUGCUAAUACCGAAUGUGCCCUUCGGGGGAAAGAUUUAUCGCCUUUAGAGCGGCCCGCGUCUGAUUAGCUUGUUGGUGGGGUAAUGGCCCACCAAGGCUACGAUCAGUAGCUGGUCUGAGAGGAUGACCAGCCACAUUGGGACUGAGACACGGCCCAAACUCCUACGGGAGGCAGCAGUGGGAAUCUUGCGCAAUGGGCGAAAGCCUGACGCAGCCAUGCCGCGUGUAUGAUGAAGGUCUUAGGAUUAGUAAAAUACUUUCACCGGUGAAGAUAAUGACUGUAGCCGGAGAAGAGGCCCCGAUAACUUCGUGCCAGCAGCCGC
rnacentral:rRNA from 1 species